GUGCUCGCUUCGGCAGCACAUAUACUAAAAAAUUAGAAUGAUACAGAGAAGAUUAGCAUGGCCCCUGCUCAAGGAUGACAUGCAAAUUCGUGAAGCUUUAAAAAAUAAA